CCUACGGGAGGCAGCAGUGAGGAAUAUUGGUCAAUGGCCGGAAGGCUGAACCAGCCAUGCCGCGUGAAGGUCAGUGCCCUAUGGGCGUUAAACUUCUUUUGUGCGGGAGCAAUAAUGGUCACGUGUGGCCAGACGAGAGUACCGUACGAAUAAGCAUCGGCUAACUCCGUGCCAGCAGCCGCGGGAAUACGGGGGAUGCAAGGGUUAUUCGGAUUUAUUGGGGUUAAAGGGUGCGUAGGCUGUGAGGUAAGUCAGCGGUGAAAUGCCCCCGGUCAACGGGGUGAAGUGCCAUUGAUACUGGCUUGCUGGAGUGCGGAGACCGUAGGAGGAAUGUGUGGUGUAGCGGUGAAAUGCAUAGAUAUCACGCAGAACCCCGAUUGCGAAGGCAUCUCGCGAAUCCGCGAUUGACGCUGAUGCACGAAAGCGUGGGUAUCAAACAGGAUUAGAUACCCUAGUAGUC
rnacentral:rRNA from 1 species